UUAUAUUAGGUAAGUGCAAAAGUUAUUGUGUAUUUUGCCAUUACUUUCAAUGGCAAAAACCACAAUUACUUUUGCACCAACCUAAUGUCUUGCCCUCUC
ensembl:miRNA